CUCCAGUUGUGAAACCCUCAGGCCUUUAAUUCACUUUGUGAUAAGAGGGUCAUUGAGUAUUGCUGAGACUCAGAAGCAUCUUCAUUGGCUGGAUUAGGGGAUUGCAUUAUCCUGAAUUAAUAUUGACUGAUGAAAAGAAGCUCAAAGCAAGAGAUUCUCCCUCCACGUAUGAGAGGCUUGGCAGUGCUAGAGCCCUGGAUGGAAAGACAGCCCUGACAAUGAUUACACUGAAUAAAUACCAGCCCUGCAGAAAGCAAAAAUAGAAAUUGCAGCAGUGGAAGCCCCAAACCAUGUCAAAACACACCGCUUCACUGGAUUUGUGCUGAAAAAAAUGAGGGAUGCUGUGAACUAAACAAAUCAGUGGAGGUGUCCACAGCCAAGUAAUCGGUGCUCUCUCUGUACUGCUUCACACUGGGCUAAGCUAUGUAUCACACUCAAC